rnacentral:lncRNA from 1 species
GAAACUAGAGAGAAGGAACUGAGAGUUGCAACCUAAAAACGCCCAGCUGAGGGAGAGAUUAUCAGGUUUGGUUACCAUGUUUUUCACGUAUAUUUUCAUUCUUCAUGCUUUUCUGUUAUCUCUUUUGUUGAUGCUAAGAUGAUAUUUGUUGCUUGGGAGUGAGCAUGUUGAUAUUUUGCUAAUGGUCUUUCUGUAGUUUGAUUUGCUCCUGUUUUGUUUUCUUCAUGAGAUAUUUCCGUAACAGUGUUCUAUCUUUUAUUCGAUACUCGUUUGAUUUCAUCCACCCUCAUAUGAGCUCAUUGACUAUCAUAUGAAAUGAGACAUUGUAUGGGUUUGUUUUGCCCCCAUUAUUGGUGUUUUGUUUGGUUGCUUUCCUCUGUUCCUAGUACUCCGUUCAUGAGGCAUGUCAGUUUCCUCACCUCUGCCUAAGGGAGUAAGGAACGUGUUCUCCGCUUGAAGGAUUACCUAAACCCAACCAAGGGACGUGAGGAUGCUACUUCAGGAUCUGGCACGGGAUAUUUCGGAUUUAAUAAUUUUACUGUUGAGGCGGCUCUCUCUGUUGGCGAUUUGAUAGUGGGAAUUUUGGAGUUUUCGUUGUAAAAAUGAAGGCCCAAUGAGAGGAGUGUGAGAACGUCCUCAGAGGAUUUUUGAACCUCAUCAAUCUGAAGGUGUAUAGUUGUCGUUCAAUAAUGGUGAAACUGGAUAAGUGACUGAGUACCAAGAGAUACUGCACAUUUGUUCAAAGUUGGAGUAUUCUGUGGCUUGCCACAACGAAUUACUUUCUGGUCACGACCGGGAGGGAAACACAGUGUGCAUGAAUGGAUCUUUUAUGAAAGAAGCUUUUCUAUUCAAUGGUG